AUAGGCUGGUCACACCCUGUGCAGGAGUCAGUCCCAGUCAGGACACAGCAUGGACAUGAGGGUCCCCGCUCAGCUCCUGGGGCUCCUGCUGCUCUGGCUCCCAGGUGCCAGAUGUGACAUCCAGAUGACUCAGUCUCCAUCCUCCCUGUCUGCAUCUGUAGGAGACAGAGUCACCAUCACUUGCCGAGCGAGUCAGAGCAUUAGCAAUGAGUUAGAAUGGUAUCAGCAGAAGCCAGGGAAAGCCCCUGUGCUUCUGAUCUAUGCUGCAUCCAGUUUGCAGACAGGGGUCCCAUCUCGGUUCAGUGGCAGUGGAUCUGGGACAGAUUUCACUCUCACCAUCAGCAGCCUGCAGCCUGAAGAUGUUGCAACUUAUUACUGUCAACAGGAUUAUGGUUACCCUCUCACAGUGUUAUAAAUCAUAAC